GACGUAGGGUGCGAGCGUUGUCCGGAUUUAUUGGGCGUAAAGAGCUCGUAGGCGGCUCGUCGCGUCGACCGUGAAAACCAGCAGCUUAACUGCUGGCUUGCGGUUGAUACGGGCGGGCUAGAGUUCGGUAGGGGAGACUGGAAUUCCUGGUGUAGCGGUGUAAUGCGCAGAUAUCAGGAGGAACACCGGUGGCGAAGGCGGGUCUCUGGGCCGAUACUGACGCUGAGGAGCGAAAGCGUGGGGAGCGAACAGG
rnacentral:rRNA from 1 species